UACAGAGGUCUCAAGCGUUGUCCGGAUUUAUUGGGCGUAAAGCGCUCGCAGGUGGUUCGAUGCGUCGUGCGUGAAAGACCCCGGCUCAACUGGGGAGGGUCGUGCGAUACGGUCGAACUGGAGGCCAGUAGGGGGAUGCGGAAUUCCGGGUGUAGUGGUGGAAUGCGUAGAGAUCCGGAGGAACACCAGCGGCGAAGGCGGCAUCCUGGACUGGUCCUGACACUCAGGAGCGAAAGCGUGGGGAGCGAUCCGG
rnacentral:rRNA from 1 species